GUGGGUAUAGCUCAAUUGGUUAGAGCAUUGGUUUGUGGAACCAAGGGUUACGGGUUCAAGUCCCGUUAUCCACC
rnacentral:tRNA from 1 species